CUAAGCAAUAUAAAACCUGCAUUUUGCUUGGCUAAGUGAGUAUAGGUUUUAGAGCAACUAGAGGCCAGCAGUCAAUUGAUUAAUAAGAACAUCAGCAAGUGCACUUGUAGUAAAUUUAUUAUCCCAGUUCUUCAUCUGAAAUUUCUAAAAUUUCGGCAAAGGCCAAUUAUGGAAGCAUUGUCCAACUUUGUUAAAGACCUCGUAUACAGUGCUGGAUCUUCAAGAGUAGUACAUGUUACGAACGGGAGUAACGAAACCGUUCGAGUUACCAUCAAAGACAACGGGAUAAAUCAACAAGAGACCUGUGCAACCCUGAAACGCGGAGGAAUCAUCAAGCACCAAUCGACCGGGUUGGCGAACGACUAUGACAACAUCACAGUCUGUGUUCGCGUGGAAUUCAACAACGGCCAUGUGUGGAUAAGCACGCACAUCAACCGAAGUGUUAUCAUCACGCCGAAAAAUAGGCUUAUCAAGGCCAAAUGCGAGACGUGGUACCAAGGAAAUGAUUCGAGCGUUUGGCGGGAUCAAAACGACAAGUGCUACAAACCAAGCUGUAAUGACAAGGGUAAUUGUAAAUGCUAAUCAGGAGUUCGAAGCCUGCAUUUAUUCAUACUUUUAAUCCGCUUUACGAAAUACUAUAAUAACAGGAUUUUCGUUUAGUUUUUCAAACAGUAUAGUUGAUAAUCCUUCUAACCAAUAAGAAAAAUGUAGUCUACAGAUUCCGAUAAUUAAUUCACCUCAAUAGGCUAAUCCCGUAUGGAAAUAUACUGAUGAGUCAUGAUGAUUAUAACCGAUGAUUUCACACGAUUUCAUAUGAUUUUAGACAAAAACUUGUGUUUUCCUGAUUAAUUUCGGGAUUUUUCCAGAAAAUCAUUAUUUGUAUCAGGUAAAAAUCAAAGUCCAGAAAGCAAUUUGCGAACACAAGUUCUUUCAAUUUCAUCAGGGGUUUUUCGCAAAUUUAUCAUGUCGUCAUGAUUUACCACGAUUUUAAUGGAGAUUUAUUAUACUGAUGAAUUUGGUUGACCUUAACCAUGAUUUUACAUAAAUUUAUCCCUGAUUAUUAGUUGAUUUUUAUCUUGAUUAAUUCCUUAUUUUAUCACUUAUGAUUUAAUGAUUGUAAUUGUUGAUUUUAACCAUGCUUUAUAGAGCAAGUGACUGACGCGUACCGCCAUUGUUUUACGAACGCACCCUGGUGUUUUAAGAUUAGCUUUUGCGGCUGGAAGCCAUGUUUGUUUCGCGAUAAUUAUGGCCGCCAGCCGCAUGCCGCUAUUCUCUUAAAAUAGUAAGGUGCGCUCGUAAAACAGUAGGGGGUACGCGUCAGUCACUUGCUCUAUUAGUGAAAAUUGGGUGAUUUGUACCUCGAUUUAUGAUAUGAUUUUAACGAUGUGAUCACCCCGGGAUGUUUUCGGACAAAAUCAUAUUGAAAUCUAGUGAUUUUAUUCUUAGGAUUUUUAUAAAGAUUUAUCGUUGAUUAUUGGAGCUUGAAUCCUUCUGAUGGAGACAUAUGACCUGAUAAAAUAUGUAUGGAAAAUUGGGUUGUAAACUUUUAAUUCCCCUUGUCUUAUAUCUUCAGGUGAUCACAGGACAUAUUGUGUGGUGUUAAAUCUCCGGGACUUGUUUCUACAGGUCAUACUUAGUAUAGUUCCAAAACUCUGGGACUUAUUUUCUCCAGCUACCUUCACUUAUGCUAUCAUUAUCAUAGAUCAAAUCAACCAUAGAAUCUAGGAAUAAAAUUCAGUAUUAAUGAUAAAUCAGCGAUAGAUUUCGCUAUUAAUUAGUGAUUUAUGCAUUGUGAAAUCAGUGGAUCUACCGGCGAUUAAUCAGACAUGAUUCAUGCCAAAGAGGUAGAUAUAUCGGCAAUUAAUCUAGAAGUUAUUCAUGACAAAAUUACUAUAUUAUUAUCGGCAAUUAAUCCGUCCCAAAUCGUCAUAGAUAAAUCAGGUGAUUUUACCAACUGAUUAUUGCCCCAAAAAUUUCCAUACGGGAUGCUAAUUUUAGAAUAGGUUCCCAAAUAUAAUUUCAACUGGAACAGUGGGCGUUUAGGGUAGCCUACCAUACUAUCAUGCGUGUGCUUAACGAAACAGUCUGCACUAGGGCUCAGCUCCACGUUGAUCGGGUGAGUUAUGUUGGUUUAGGAGCACGCCGGCCGUGUCAUGGGUUUUCGUUUUUUUUUUUUUUUUUUGCCCUUGCUUGGUCGGGUUUUAAUCGGAUUGAACGGUGGAGUUGAGCAAACGUAUAACACAAGAAUUUGAUUGUUGACACUCAAACAUAAUCGAUCUAUAUUUUUCAUGGUUAGACCCUACCAACAUAAUCGAGUCGGCUGCCCCGUUUACAAUACCCGAUUAUGCAUUUUUUAAACCCCAAGUUCUACCCCGAAAUUUGAUUAUUGUUACUGUUUUGUUUUGGAAACUGUACAUCUUGUUUGUGACACAAUAAUAAAAGAUGAGAGCACUUGUUACAAUGUUUCGAGUAACAAAUCGCAUUUCUUCGGUUUGGGAGUAAGUUCACCAUGAGAGUGACAAUGUGACUUUGACAAAUCAUUAAUGCAUGCGUGACAGUUACCAAACAUACGGACAAUAGAGCCUGGCUGACCUAUCAGAAAGUUAGACUCGGGCUGAAUUAUGAUGAAGCAGGUUCUUGCUGACCUAUCAGAAAUCCUUGUUUUCUGGAGGACAACAAGAACUACCCCUUUUUCAAAUGUGGUGCCGUUCAAUCCGCCGUCCUACAAGAUGGCACCGGGUUUUCCGCAACCCGGACUCGGAGAAAAAAUCGACCCGAUAGAACCAUUUUACUCGGUGGGGUGGGCAGCCCGAGGUGCGGUUAUAGUAAAUUUUUAUCCCAGUGCCUCAUCUGAUAUUUUAAACGUUAGUUCUAAUAGGAGAAAAAAAAAUCCUUGCUGCUUUCUCGUUCAAAUCUGAAAUUCUUCUUGCGCAAGCUCCAAUUAUGGGAUCACUGCCAAUCGGGUGAGUAAUUUUGGUUUUCGGAGCAGGUCGGCCGGGUUACGGGGUUUUAUGUUUUUCGCCCCGUGCUCCAAAUGACGUGUAGGGCUCUGUUCCUUGUUGAUAUGGUAAUUUUUUUACCUUAUCUUGUGAGUUGUUUUGAUUGUUCAGAACAGAUUUUUUGGUGCACUGGAUAUUUUUUUGUCCCCUUUAAUUAAGUUCGAUCAAUGUUUUUUAAGCCCAAUCAGGAUGGGACAAACCAAUUAAAUGCCACAACGUAAUGAGUCUUAAUAAACAGAAAAAAAGGAAAUGAGCAGGAUUGGCUCCGCUAAAAAAGAGAAUUUCAAGGUCAUUGUAAGAGUGGCAAUUUCAUUGGUUUUAAAACUUUGUCCAUACGCUUUCCACUAAAUGAAAGACUAAAUGAAUAAGUUUUACAAUUUGAAACAGUAGCCUACAAGUUCCAGAAAAUAACUUUCGUCGUUGCUGUCGUAAGCAAAAUUCAACGGAAAUUGGUGAGGCAAUGUGAUACCUGCGCCAGUCAGAUAAGAGCUAAUAACGAGCUAUUUGAUUUAGAUAACAAUUGAUAGCAGAGCAUUUAUUUUGAUGCUAAGCAAUAAAAACACCUGCAUUCAGCUUGGCUAAGUAAGUCUAGUUUUUAGAGCAACUAGAGCCUAGUCUAUUGAUUCAAAAAGACAUCAGCAAGUGCGCAUAUAGUAAAUUUAUUAACCCAGUUCCUCAUCUGAUAUUUAAAGAUUCAAUCAUGAAAUCGCCGUUCAGCGUAGUAAAAAAGUUCGUGAAAAGUAAAUUCUCGAAAGUAGUACACGUUGCGAACGGGAGCCACGAAACCGUUCGAGUGAUCAUCUACGACAACGGGAAAAAUCAACAAGAGACCUGUGCAACCCUGGAAAGCGGAGAAAUCACCAAGCACAUAUCGACAGGAUGGACGAAUGAUCCUAAAAUCACAGUCUAUGUUUGCGUGGAAUACAACAACGGCAGUCAAGAGCUGACGAAGACAACGAACAACCGAAGUGUGAUCAUCGCGCCGAACAAGACGCUUAUCGGGGCAAAAUACGAGACGUGGUACCAGGGAAAUGAUUCGAGCGUUUGGCGGGAACAAAACGACAAGUGCUACAAACCAAGCUGUAAUAACAAGGGUAAUUGUAAAUGCUAAUCAGGAGUUCGAAGCCUGCAAUUAUUCAUACUUUUAAUCCGUUUUACGAAAUGCAAAUAAACAGGAUUUCGUUUAGUUUUUCAAACAGUAGUUGAUAAUCCUUCUAACCAAUAAGAAAAAUGUAGUCUAGAUACCGAUAAUUAAUUCACUUCAUUAGAAGUGAAGAACCUUAGAAUAGGUUCCAAAUAUAAUUUCAACUGGAACAGUGGGAUACCAUACUAUCAUGCGUGUGCUUAAUGAAACAGUUUGAACUAUAAGGCUCACUGCGGGACACGGGGAGCGUUGAUCGGGUGAGUUAUGUUGGUUUUUGGAGCAAGUCGGCCUGGUUGUAGGAUGCAACCAGUUGAACUGUUUCGCUAUAAUUUCGUAACUGGGAAUGUUCGUUUAUUAUCGUUUGUUCAGCUAGCAACAGAGAAAGGCAUUCGUAUAAAAUUGGGAUUCUUUCUUUAUAUCCCAUUUCCUCCUUGGGACAUUUUCCGGCUGCUUCCAUGGGCUAAUCAAGUGCUUGAAGGAUUGCUUGGUUAUGAAUUGGUUGGCUUUCACAUUGAAUGGUUGACAUUAUUCCGCCGCCAAACAAAACGAUUGGCUUUUUAUUAGCGCUUCUAGCAAUGGCCUGAACGGAAAUCAGAUUGAAAAUGGGGCCUCGGCAACGUCAGGGUAAAUACUGUAUCUCCAAAACUUUCCACAUCAUAUUCAAGAAACGUUUCAAUUAAGGGAAAGGCAAAAUCGUGUUUCUUGGAGUAGACUAGUGCAAUACAAAGCUUGCUGAGAAUGUCCAGUGGUAAUUCCUGUGUCAAUUCCAUCGUUUCUGCCUCUUCGAGGUCAAUUGCAUCAACUUUUUUAUUGUUAAACACCAAGCCGCAAUGUUUAGCCAAAAUUUAUCCUACUUUCAUCACAUCGAGAUAAUGCUUCGUCAAAACUCGGAGUUACAAUAAAAGAUUAUAAUGUCCCAGGCAAAAAUCCGACACAAUUAAAUGCAUGUUUUAAUAUUGUGUUUAUAUUGGCACACUUUAGGACGAUAUAAAUUAUGCAUUGAAUCAUACUAAAGUCUAAAAUAUAAUUUUUAGAUAAAAAGAAUAAUGAAUUGUGUCCCACUUGUGGUAUAGACCAAGAUCGGAUGCUGAGUUGCCAAGGCUGAAUUCCGACC